AGGGUUUGAUUAUGGCUCAGAUUGAACGCUGGCGGCAGGCCUAACACAUGCAAGUCGAGCGGUAGAGAGGUGCUUGCACCUCUUGAGAGCGGCGGACGGGUGAGUAAUGCCUAGGAAUCUGCCUGGUAGUGGGGGAUAACGCUCGGAAACGGACGCUAAUACCGCAUACGUCCUACGGGAGAAAGCAGGGGACCUUCGGGCCUUGCGCUAUCAGAUGAGCCUAGGUCGGAUUAGCUAGUUGGUGGGGUAAUGGCUCACCAAGGCGACGAUCCGUAACUGGUCUGAGAGGAUGAUCAGUCACACUGGAACUGAGACACGGUCCAGACUCCUACGGGAGGCAGCAGUGGGGAAUAUUGGACAAUGGGCGAAAGCCUGAUCCAGCCAUGCCGCGUGUGUGAAGAAGGUCUUCGGAUUGUAAAGCACUUUAAGUUGGGAGGAAGGGCAUUAACCUAAUACGUUAGUGUUUUGACGUUACCGACAGAAUAAGCACCGGCUAACUCUGUGCCAGCAGCCGCGGUAAUACAGAGGGUGCAAGCGUUAAUCGGAAUUACUGGGCGUAAAGCGCGCGUAGGUGGUUCGUUAAGUUGGAUGUGAAAUCCCCGGGCUCAACCUGGGAACUGCAUUCAAAACUGUCGAGCUAGAGUAUGGUAGAGGGUGGUGGAAUUUCCUGUGUAGCGGUGAAAUGCGUAGAUAUAGGAAGGAACACCAGUGGCGAAGGCGACCACCUGGACUGAUACUGACACUGAGGUGCGAAAGCGUGGGGAGCAAACAGGAUUAGAUACCCUGGUAGUCCACGCCGUAAACGAUGUCAACUAGCCGUUGGGAGCCUUGAGCUCUUAGUGGCGCAGCUAACGCAUUAAGUUGACCGCCUGGGGAGUACGGCCGCAAGGUUAAAACUCAAAUGAAUUGACGGGGGCCCGCACAAGCGGUGGAGCAUGUGUUUUAAUUCG
rnacentral:rRNA from 1 species